rnacentral:misc_RNA from 1 species
GAUGAAGAACGUAGUGAAAUGCGAUAAGUAAUGUGAAUUGCAGAAUUCAGUGAAUCAUCGAAUCUUUGAACGCACAUUGCGCCCGCCAGUAUUCUGGCGGGCAUGCCUGUUCGAGCGUCAUUUCAACCCUCAAGCCCCAGCGGUUUGGUGUUGGGGACCGGCGAGCACAGAGGCCUUGGGGACUUGUCCCCCUUCCCUCGGCGCCGCCCCCCGAAAUGAAUUGGCGGUCUCGUCGCGGCCUCCUCUGCGUAGUAGCACAACCUCGCAUCAGGAGCGCGGCGCGGCCACUGCCGUAAAACGCCCAACUUUUUUUAAGAGUUGACCUCGAAUCAGGUAGGAAUACCCGCUGAACUUAAGCAUAUCAAUAAGCGGAGGA